rnacentral:misc_RNA from 1 species
AACCCAGGAUCCACAUUAAACGUCCAGGUCACGUUAAAAUUGGCAUUAGAAUCAUCAUUAGCACCAGCCACGUUCAUCUCACUACAAGUACCAUAAACUGACGGUGGUGCAAAAUCUGGUGUUGCUCCAUCUGCUGGAUAUUUUACGGAUCCAAUCUUACUAACCGACUUAGCUGAACUCGGCUGGAUCAAGAAACUUUGAUCCGUAACCCAAGUUCUCCAAAGUGUAUCAUUAUCAAACGACACCAACGAUCCACCCAUGUUUACCCUAGCAACCGUUUCGAGAG